GACGAACGCUGGCGGCGUGCCUAAUACAUGCAAGUAGGACGCAGUUGCGAACGGGUGAGUUACGCGUAGGUAACUACCUAUUAGUGGGGGAUAACUAUUGGAAACGAUAGCUAAUACCGCAUACUAGUAGAUGGACCUGCGUUGUAUUAGCGAGUAGGUAGGGUAAUGGCACACCUAGGCAAGGAUACAUAGCCGACCUGAGAGGUUGUUCGGCCACACUGGGACUGGGGAACGGCCCAGACUACUACCGGAUGCAGCAGUAGGGAAUCUUCGGCAAUGGGGGGAAACCUUACCGAGCAACUCCGCGUGAGUGAAGAAGGUUUUCGGUUCGUAAAGCUCUGUUGUUGAGGAAGCGGUACUUAACCAAAAAGGGACGGCUAACUACGUGCCAGCAGCCGCGGUAAUAC
rnacentral:rRNA from 1 species